rnacentral:rRNA from 1 species
GAAUGCUGACAUAAGUAACGAUAAAGCGGGUGAAAAGCCCGCUCGCCGGAAGACCAAGGGUUCCUGUCCAACGUUAAUCGGGGCAGGGUGAGUCGACCCCUAAGGCGAGGCCGAAAGGCGUAGUCGAUGGGAAACAGGUUAAUAUUCCUGUACUUGGUGUUACUGCGAAGGGGGGACGGAGAAGGCUAUGUUGGCCGGGCGACGGUUGUCCCGGUUUAAGCGUGUAGGCUGGUUUUCCAGGCAAAUCCGGAAAACCAAGGCUGAGGCGUGAUGACGAGGCACUACGGUGCUGAAGCGACAAAUGCCCUGCUUCCAGGAAAAGCCUCUAAGCAUCAGGUAACAUCAAAUCGUACCCCAAACCGACACAGGUGGUCAGGUAGAGAAUACCAAGGCGCUUGAGAGAACUCGGGUGAAGGAACUAGGCAAAAUGGUGCCGUAACUUCGGGAGAAGGCACGCUGAUAUGUAGGUGAAGCGACUUGCUCGUGGAGCUGAAAUCAGUCGAAGAUACCAGCUGGCUGCAACUGUUUAUUAAAAACACAGCACUGUGCAAACACGAAAGUGGACGUAUACGGUGUGACGCCUGCCCGGUGCCGGAAGGUUAAUUGAUGGGGUUAGCGGUAACGCGAAGCUCUUGAUCGAAGCCCCGGUAAACGGCGGCCGUAACUAUAACGGUCCUAAGGUAGCGAAAUUCCUUGUCGGGUAAGUUCCGACCUGCACGAAUGGCGUAAUGAUGGCCAGGCUGUCUCCACCCGAGACUCAGUGAAAUUGAACUCGCUGUGAAGAUGCAGUGUACCCGCGGCAAGACGGAAAGACCCCGUGAACCUUUACUAUAGCUUGACACUGAACAUUGAGCCUUGAUGUGUAGGAUAGGUGGGAGGCUUUGAAGUGUGGACGCCAGUCUGCAUGGAGCCGACCUUGAAAUACCACCCUUUAAUGUUUGAUGUUCUAACGUUGGCCCGUAAUCCGGGUUGCGGACAGUGUCUGGUGGGUAGUUUGACUGGGGCGGUCUCCUCCUAAAGAGUAACGGAGGAGCACGAAGGUUGGCUAAUCCUGGUCGGACAUCAGGAGGUUAGUGCAAUGGCAUAAGCCAG